rnacentral:misc_RNA from 1 species
CGCACAUUGCGCCCCUUGGUAUUCCGAGGGGCAUGCCUGUUCGAGCGUCAUUACAACCCUCAAGCUCUGCUUGGUAUUGGGCGUCGUCCUCCUGCGGGGACGCGCCUCAAAGACCUCGGCGGUGGCUCCUGGCCCUCAAGCGUAGUAGAAUACACCUCGCUUUGGAGCGGUUUGGAGUCGCCCGCCGGACGAACCUUCUGAACUUUUCUCAAGGUUGACCUCGGAUCAGGUAGGGAUACCCGCUGAACUUAA